rnacentral:rRNA from 1 species
UACGUAGGGUGCAAGCGUUAAUCGGAAUUACUGGGCGUAAAGCGUGCGCAGGCGGUAUUGUAAGUCUGACGUGAAAUCCCCGGGCUCAACCUGGGAAUUGCGUUGGAGACUGCAAGGCUAGAAUCUGGCAGAGGGGGGUAGAAUUCCACGUGUAGCAGUGAAAUGCGUAGAGAUGUGGAGGAACACCGAUGGCGAAGGCAGCCCCCUGGGUCAAGAUUGACGCUCAUGCACGAAAGCGUGGGGAGCAAACAGG